GAUGAAGAACGUAGCGAAAUGCGAAAAGUAAUGUGAAUUGCAGAAUUCAGUGAAUCAUCGAAUCUUCGAACGCACAUUGCGCCCGCCAGUAUUCUGGCGGGCAUGCCUGUCUGAGCGUCAUUUCAACCCUCAUGCCCCUAGGGCGUGGUGUUGGGGAUCGGCCAGCGCCCGCGAGGGACGGCCGGCCCCUAAAUCUAGUGGCGGACCCGUCGUGGCCUCCCCUGCGAAGUAGUGAUAUUCCGCAUAGGAGAGCGACGAGCCCCUGCCGUUAAACCCCCAACUUUCUAAGGUUGACCUCAGAUCAGGUAGGAAUACCCGCUGAACUUAAGCAUAUCAAUAAGCGGAGGA
rnacentral:misc_RNA from 1 species